AUGACGACGCUCACGGUCUUUUCGGUUUUCAUUUCGGUCGUUCCUGGCCAUGGGUUCGAGGGGAUUCAUUUUAAAUGUUUCUGUCUCUCUGAGGAGUUAGAGACAGAGAGAGUUAGAGACAGAGAGAGAGCGCGCGCAGCUGCUGUGGUUGUUGCCCUGAUUGCCAUGACAACCAAAGCCUGCUCACACACACACACACACACACACACACACACACACACACACACACACACACACACACACACACACACACACACACACACACACACACACAGACACACACACACACACAUAGCUAGCUACAGAGGCUGACAUGGCAUUAAUAUGCUAGUGCUAACGUGCUAGAGAGCAAGGCACAAUCAAAAUUUCUUUAGGAAUUUUCUAGUUCAUUCUCUUGUCUCAGGGUUGGAAAAGUAUGAUUUACUCAAACGUUAAUUCAAAGGCCAAAGAGCACAUCAUCAACUAACAUUAGUUUGUGAGGUUACAGUAGGGUGACCAGACGUCCCAGAUUUUCGGGGACAGUCCCCGAUUUGGCCGACCUGUCCCCGCUUAAAGCUGUCCCCGAGAAUGUCCCCGAUUUGAACGGGGGGAAAAAAAAGUUGCGUAUGGAUGCACACUCCAGUUAUUAUGGUUAAACCAGUUUAACUAACGUGCUGACGUUACGCAGUAAAUGGCUUGUGUCGACCGGCUGGUCUCUGCUCCCGCUGUGCUGCGGCACAUCCACGCCACAACAGCAGAGCGCUCCUCUGCUCGUCCGUGCAGCUGCAGGUGAGUGACGGGGGAGCCAGCUGGAGAGCGCCUCCUUUUUUAUUUUAUUUUAGGGGCACCGUCCUUACAGGGGGAAGCACGCGUUGCAGGUUGCACUCAGAGUUUGUUCUGACUUUCUAUCACAAGGAGUGUACAGCGUAAGUGUAAAUCCUCUCAUGUAAUGCUUUGCUGUGAAAUAUGGCUGAAGUCACGAGUGGAAGUGUGCACAUGUUGACAAGCUCCCGUGAGUUGAUUGACAUAGCUAAAAAAAAAAAAAAACUAUAAAUAAUAAUAAUAAUAAGAAGAAGAAUCAGAGUCAAAUCAGAAUCCAAGUUCUUCAUAUUGGUUAACAGUUUGGAUGGGUUAAAGGUAACUUCUUAUUGGCUACUCAUUUGCUUUGUCAAAAUACAUUAACAUGUAAUUGCCCCUAUUAUUUAUUUUAUAACGAUAACGAUUAACAAUUUUGACCACCGCGCUAAAAAAUGUCCCCGAUUUUCAUUUCGGAAAUCUGGUCACCUUAGGUUACAGAUUACAUUAAAGAAGCAUUGAUGGUUGGGAGGAUAACUUUUUGCCUGUAUUGUUGUCCAUGUGGAAAAAUGACUGUGAUGAUAUUUGACUUUCUGGUGAGCUGACGUUGGUGUGGAAGUUGUUGAUCAGUGCAGUCUAUUAGUAGCAGGACGUGCUUCUACAUUUUCAUAAUUGACUUCGUGGCCAUCCUGAUGCACCUGUGAAAUACAACACAACCAAUGAGAUUCUGAAUUGUUUGAAGGGAACAAACUGUUGAUGUUUCUACCAGAGAGACUGCAGCCUCUGUGGGCACAGAAGGAACAACAGUCUCAAAUGAAAAAGUUACAUCUUUUA
ensembl:lncRNA